GAUUUUUGCGGUCCUAUCUGGGUGGUGAGGUGACUCCUUGAAAUAGCCGAUAGGAAACCGAGACUGUUACGUAAAGGACGGGCUCUGUGAAAGCCAAGGGGCAGGUAGGCAAAAGUGUUGACCCAUGCAGACCCGGUAACUUCGCGUACGGACUAAGAAUUGGCAUAUGCCGGUUAAUGGAUGCAAGAAGUAAAACAGUUCCUCACAAGAAGGAGUCGAAGUUCAAAAGAAAAAGAAAGAAGCAGAAAGAUCGUAAAUGCGAUCCCGCAGGAAGAAGGGUUUUAAUUGAGCCCUGAUCUCUACUUGUAUUCAGUGGACUGCUCAUUAAGAAAUGGAUGUCUCUUGAUGGCAGCAAUUAUCCCUGGUAACCUUAAUGAGCUUGUUACAUUCCUUUGUAAUUGUUAUAAAAAGUUAUAUGAAACAUUUUGCUUAAUACUACCCAGCUCCAGGGGAAAUUGCUUUUCAAACCAAAUGAUUGUUCUUUUCAUGUUUCUUGUGUAUGCAUUCCUUUUCUACUCCUUCGGCAGCCCCCUGCCGUAGGCAACAGGUGCACCGAAAGCACAUCAGUGGCUAAAACUACUUCCUGUGGCUUAACACUGAAUUCAGGAAGCAAAAUUCAUAUGAUGUGGGAACUUUGCAGCAGCUACUGUUAAACUCUGGUCACAGAGUCCCUUCCAGCAAGACACAUAAUGGGUAGCAGCCAAAGACUCCUGGUUCUGAAAAGCAUUCAGGGAUGAUCUGAUUUUUCUGACGCUAAAUCCAAAGGAAGGCUUAGAAACAUUCUCCACGUGAGCAGCCAAAGCAGUUAAGUGCAGCAGCUUUCCAAUCACCCUCUUCUUACUGAGCUAAUUCAAACGUGUUAAAGCACAGCACUUAGGGGAUCUUUCAACAAAACUUGUUUGAUAACAGUCAGUUUGUUGAAAAAAGCUAUUUAUGGAAAUUGUUUCUGAGGUAACAUUUCAAGAACAAAGAUGGCAUUUCCAGCCAAAACCAGCAGGUCAGAAGAGCUGGUCUGAUAGCUCAGCAACGUAACAUGACUUGCAGAGUUGGAAUUUGUGUCUGGACUCUUAGGUUGCCAAGCAGCCUUGCACAUGGGCUCAUCAGCUACUCUGCAGUGCCUUAGCUGCUCUGCCUUCGCAUAAAAAUAAAUGUGAGAGCUUCGGUUUGUUAUUGUCAAACAGAAUUCUCAUCUUCUUUCUGUCUGUGCAGCAGUAAGCUGCUCCUCCUGGUCCACCUGAGCUUCCUCAGCUGCAACCUGCAGCUGCUGCCAUGUCUGCAGCCACCACAGAGGCUUUGCUUCAUAAUCCUCCUCCAAGCAGCUGCGACUUGGACCAUCCAGCUGAUGGCUAGCAGUUUGAAGCAAGCCACAAUUCAGCCAUUUGUCUGUUUCCAGAAGUCUAUAUUGACAACUAUGUCAGCAGCAAGAGCAGCACCACUUGGAACAUGUCUGACCAACAUCAACAAGCAGCCCUCAGUGCUGCUGUUUAGUACAAUGCAAUUAUUUGCAAGUAAGAUUUUGUACCUACAAAUACCAGAAGACACCUAGUUAAUACCACAGAAUGUAAACCUCAGAAGAAAUGCGCAGUACGGGCUCACGGAUGCUUUUAAGAACCUAACAUUUAUUCUUGAAAAGUUUUGAGGUUCAGAUUUAUAGCCUUCACCUGACAAUAGCAGUGUCUUGAACAUUUUCCUUUUCAAAAUGCACCGAAUGCGUAGACUUCAGUAAAAAAAAAAAAUUUAUUUUCAAUAUAAAAGUGCCAAAAUAUCCACCAACAUUGUAAUCUAUUCAACAACCAGCUUACUCUAGUAAUCAAAAUUGCAGGCAUCUUUAUUCACAUUUUUAAAUCAAAUUCCUUUCACACAUUUCCGCAGUAACCCGAGUCCCUCGAAAGUGGGAAAUUUGGAUUUCGGUUGGCUGCUGUAGUCCAUAUGUCCAAGUUCAUGUAGGCACGGAACGGGUUAAACCUCGGAUAGUAUUCCUGCUUACACAUAACAGCUUGGUUCUCAACAUGGGUUGAGUGUUGGGUCGUGGCACUGACAGGGCAGCAGCUUUCAUAAACAUCACUCUGCGGUGCCCAGAUGGAACCAAAAAGUCCAGACAUUGGAGACAAGCUUCGGGUGUUCGAGAGGUAGGGCUGCAGAACAAGAUAAAAGUAUCAGGGGAGCUGCAGAACAGCCCGCUCAAAGAAAGCAUGGAAGUGUACUAAGUGGGAGGAAGCAACAUUUAUGCAAAGAACAUUGAAAACUUGCAAGUUGAAAAUUAAAUAAGCUGACAAGGCAGUAAGGUUGCCCAAAAAAAGAUUACAGCAGCAUUAGCAUGCUCUCUGCAUGGCACCAAUAUCACUGUAGCAAGAAUACAGUAUUUAGUUCUGGCUGGGUUAUUAAGAAAUACAAGGGAUAAACAGAUGAUGUAAAGAGCAUCACACAUGGUUUGGAGAGUUAAAACUAAAACAGAAGGAUGCCUAAGAAAUGACGAGGAAAAGGUUGAUGUAUGUAUCAGUAAUGAAAGAUCAUGCACACAAGCAAAAAUGGAUAUUCAGUAUGGAAAAGAGAAUCCAACUGGGAGCUAGGGAGUUUAGGUAGAAAAAUUUCGAAAGCUUAUGAGGAAUCUCCUGAAGAGCAAGAUGUAUUAGUCUGCAAGGAAACCUCUCAGAAAGGUCAUGGAAGUCUUGGGACUUUUAAAAUUGAAUGAAACACUGAAAUGUACUGUAGUGAAUAGUUUGCCAGGGAAAUGAACCGAAUUAUUCAAUGUAUUUUCCAAUCUCUACCUUCUGUGUUUCCUGGCAUUCUUGAAUAGAAUAUGAAAUAAAGCUGCAUCUAUUUAAGGAAACAGUCUUCUACCAGUUUUGCUACUUUUUAAUUUGAGUAGAAUUUUCAGUUCUGCAGUUAGAAAUAUUUAUCGCUUUAUUUGAAUAUUUUUAUUCAAAACAAACGUAUUACAAAUGUAGUAAAAAAAAUCUAUAAGAUAUUGAAAUCUGAGCUGAAGAAAAUGUAGUUGCAAGUAAAGACUGCCUGGAACUGAGGUGAGCCACACAUUGCACUGUGGGAUGACACAGACGUGGCUAGUCCAGACAGUUAGAGGUCAAAGUCAACACUCAGAAAUCUACACAAAUCCAGCUUAAAUCACUUGGAUUUCCCAGAAGAAAAAAAAAAAAAGAAAAAAAAACCUGUCAAAGUCACCGAGAGCAGCUGUCCGUUUAGCCCUACCAUUUCCAAAUCUCCGGGUUUUGCUGUCAGCACUUUCUGUAUUCUACCCUCAUCUGGAAAGGCUGAUUUGGAUGGGAAAAAGUCUCAGUAGACUAUGCAAGUCCAAAAUAUUUUUCCAUAUGUAAGAUGAUUUUAGUCAAUUUGCAGGCAAAAAUGAUCCAUCUUAGAGUUUUAUAGACAAAGCUCAGGAACAACCUUGACCAACAACUGGGAGAAAUCCAUGCUACCAACACCAACGUCAAACACACGUCAGGCUACUUAAAGGAAAUAUGAGCAACAUGCAAGCAGUAGGUGAGGGCAAGGCAGGUACACACUUUUCAAGUGGCAUAAGAAAGCAGCGCCUGGCAGUGGCAAUACUCACUGUGGAGUUGACAUAACUGGCAGGCUCCCAGGUAGGUGGCAUGUUGUGUGGCGCAUUCCAGGUGGAGGUGCAGCUCUGGUCAAUGAAGGCUGUGUUCUGCAUUGCAGCUGUGCCUGGGAAGCCGUUGGAGUAGUUCAUGUUUUCUGCAGUUUAUAAAACAGGGAAGAGAAAAUAAGGCUUUUGCCUUAUUUAAUUUUGAACAUUCUUGGAGCAAGACAUGCAAGAACCAAGCUCAGCUUUUGGUGACUUUAGGCAGCUUCCAGGCAGUGCAGCAGCAAAGCAUAACAACUUGUGUUAACAAGACUACCAUUUUGUUCUAGGGACCCAGUAACAAACCUCUGUCAGGAGAAUGGGAUAAAGAGUAGGCAAUCUCUUUACUGGAGAAAGCAGUCUUUAUUAGCUGCAGAACGUGCAUGGCAGAGUCUACCUUGGCUUCACUGCCAAUAUACCUCAACUCUAAGCACCCCAGAGAUUACCCUGCUGCCUGUGAUACUGUAGCCUGAUCUUUAAUUACUGCUUAGGUAAUACUAAAGAAUUUUAGGUUCUUGCCAGAGUGUGUCCCAAGCCAAGAAACUCUAGCCUGCAAACGUAAUUGGUCACAAGAGGCCUUCUGUUUCACACACACUGGAAAGCAAGCCAGAGGAGAAACAAAGAAAAUUGUGCAAAAAAGAAUUGUGUAAUACUGUGAUCACAAGCAUUUUUCUCUAUUCCCUCUCAGACCAAGUCCUGAAUUUUCAGGCUUAAUGAUUCUAUACAAAAAUUGGCUUUCUCAUCUACCACAUGUAGACAGUGCUUUUUUUUUCCUAUAGAGUACCCAGUCAGCUGGAAAGUAUAAACUUCAAACACCCAGAUGCUUAUAGACAAGCUCAGCCUUUUGUUUUAUAAGUUAGGUUAGAGAAAAAACAUGCUCAGUGAUAACUUUUUUACUUCAUCUUACCUUCUGGAAUAGCACCAUAUUCGUUCAUCUCAAAUGGACAAUACACGUUGGAAAACUGGCUGUCACAAGUUGCGUUCCAGUCAAUGAAGCUGUCCCAAGAAAAAGAAAAAUGUGCUGUUAGAAACAAUUUGCAGAACUUCUGAAAAUUAUUUAGACAUACUUAUUCACUGUAAAGCUAUCGGGUGUAAAAUGCCUGUAACUGAUGAGGCUUUUCACAUUCUGCUUGCCAUACAAAUCCUGCCAGCACAUAAUCAUGGCAAUCCUCUCACUGAACUCUUUAUUCCCCCUGGGAGGAUGAACAAAUUGUAGUUACAGCUACCAGAGUUCUGCAACACCUUGUGGGAUUCAACUUCUUCCUCCACAAAAAGAAAAUAAUCAGAUUUCUUUCCCACAGGCACAGAAGUGGUAGAUAGAAAGUAAAAUACCAUGAUUUGAUGGGGGAGGGGGGGGGUAAAGAUGCAAUGCAUUCUUUAGCAUUUCUAUGCAGAGCACUCUGUAAGGGGAUUUGUACUUCACCCACCACAGGUUUCCUAAACUAUGCAUGCUUAGUGUAGGGAUCAUAGUGUAGGGAUCAUACUUGUUUCCAUUCAAAUAAUUGAAGUAUUUCAAGAAGACUUUCAAGAGUAAUUCUUAAAGAUUCGACUUCGAGAGCAGACUGCCAGCCAUUACUCCAAAUCAUCAGGGCUGCAGUCUGUAGACAUGACAGUUUACAGUUGAGGUUAGCAGCCUGGUUGGGAUCACAUCAUCAUCAUUUGGGGAUUUGUGUUACCCACUCUUUCAUUUUGGAUGACAGGAUAUGACUUGAACUGAAGGCAGAUACCUGUAUAUGAGUAGGAACACCAGUGAGUUUGUAUGAGCUAAGUUAUGACAUACUAAUGAAAAAAACAUGAAAAACUAGGGGAUUGAAGCAAUGGCAUGAAUUAUAAUGUUUGCAAGGAAGAUGAUAGUUAAAAAUGAGCUCAAGUGCACUCCUCUGCACCACAGAAAACCUUAACAAAACAUAACUUGCCUGUUGUGGAUCGGAGGUGUUUCCUGGAUCAUGCAUGGCAGAUUAUUCUCAAGGUUGUAGUUUAAACUGUUUGUCAGGCAGACAGGCUGGGGAGGCCACAAGUCUCCUGCUGGGUAAAGACCUAAGCAGGGAAAAGAGAAUGACAUGCAAAACAGGAAGGAGGCUUUCACCAAUUGUGAGUAUCACUGCAAUAUUUGAUUCUCCACAACAAAGACUAUAUGGCAGAUGAAAAAUCUGGAGAUAUCAACCAACCUACUUAUGUGACGAACAUCAAUCUUCAAACAAAUCUCAGAAUUUCUAUUCCUUAAAAAUAAUUAUGUAGGAAGAGACUUGAAUGAAGAAUUUGUAAUUCCACAAAACAAAGCAAGAGUUCUCAAGUUACCUAUCACAGAAUCACUGAAUGACUUGGGUUGGAAAGGCCCUUCCUCCUCAACCCCCUGAAAGAUCAUUAAGUUCCAACCCCCCCCUGCAACAGACAAGGCCAUCAAUCUCCAGAUUUGGUACUAAGUCAGGUAGCCCAGGGCCCCAUCCAUCCUGCUCUUGAAAACCUCCAGGGACAGGGCAUCCACAACCUCUCUAGGCAGCCUGUUCCAGCACCUCACCACUCUCUUGAUAAAAAACUUCCCCUUGACAUCAAAUCUAAACCAUCCCUCCUUAAGCUUGAACCACUCCCCCUUGUCCUAUCACCAUUAACUAUCAUUCUAACCUAACUGCUCAAAGACACUUUGUUACCAUUCCCUUGUUUGUACCUUGCCAGACACCCAUCCUACAGCAAAAGGCACAGCAGCAUGCUACUCAAAGAGCUAUGUAUUUUAACCAGUUUUCAAACUCCACCUGACCACAUUGAACUUUUUGCUGCUAUGAAUCCCACUGAACAAGUUAAUAUUAUUUCCCUUUGAGAUACAAAGGAUGAGAACUCAGCAUUUUAAAACUCUGACCCUAUCUCAUUCGUUACUCCUUUCAAAAAGAGCAAGUCCUGACUGGAAGUUUGGAGAGGAAAAAGUGGUCACAUCUGACCCAAUGCUGAACUUCAUUUUAACAUAUGGAACUGGUGUUCUCAUAUCCCAGCCACAUUACUUUUAGACUUAAACCUCAAAGCAAGAGAAAAAAAAUACCUAAAAAUGAGAGCUGAAAGCAAAAUGCUGUAUUCACACAGAGAAGAUACAGAAGAAUAUCAAAGCUGUAAGAUUUUGCUUGCUGACUUUAAUCUUAACUUGCCUAGAAGUCAAGAUCUAACAACGUGUGUAUGAACUCUGCAUAUACAGAGAAUGUUAGCAACACUAUUGACACUGCUUGGCGAAGACUGCAAAGCCAACUGAAGUUGUUAAUUCAGUAACUGACCUUUAUUCUUUUCAGGAUCUGCAGCUAUAUCAGUGAAAUUUGGACACAAGGUAUCAGGAUACUGAGGAAUGCUAUUCAUGUCUCUGCUAAACGAAAAGGAAAUGGAAUUUCUUAAAUCAAGACACUCUUACGUUCAUAUUCCAAAGUAUUUCAAAAGAAAGAUAUGCAGAUGAAAAAAAUAUUCUAGAGAAUACAACUCUUGCUAUUGCUUUCCCUGUUUUUCCCUGUUUUUCUCCUUAUUUGAAUUACCACUGCAUCAGCUACUAAUUAAGCAUACAAAACAAAUACAUCUUAAUAAUCUCACUUAUCCAAGCAUCAAACUAUUGCAAAUUAAUUUAACAGCUCUUCUCUUGAAAUUGAAAAACAAGCUAUAUUCCAUUAAGAUGAAUAAGAUCUCUCAUGAUGUUUCAGUGCUCCCAACAACUUUCAGACAAGUUGACUUCUAUGUGUAUGAAGACACAUAGGCACACAUGAACAUCAAUUUUGUAUUCAUCGAAUGCCAUCAAAGAAAUGACUUGUGAGUGGAAAGGGAGCAUUUGUAAGCACCAGAAACCCAGAGGAAAAGGAUUAAAUUAUUUUUGCUGGUGAAAAUUAUGAAUGACAUAGACAGUUAUGAAUGAGAAGUGAAAUAAGGAUUCACAGUGAUAAGAAUUGUAGACGCUAUCUCUACUAUAGUGAAUAAGUAGAAAGGAAAGAAGGGGAGGGGGAAAUAAAUUUCCUAGGAGAGCAUUACUCUCAUUAAAAGAAUAACAUCAACUUGAAAGUCUCACUUUUUUUUUUUUUUUUUAACAAUUUUUAAUUUAAUAUAACUAAGGGUGGAUAGAAAUGUAGCAGGUUGCUAAGAUCUGGAAGAAAUCAGUGGGGAAAAAUAAUUUCCUUUACUCUCAAAUUUUGUUUUCCAUAUACCCCCGCACAAUCCUUUUUCUGUCUCAACUGCACAGAUCUUUCCACAUACUGAGAAAGAUUCUUCUUCCAAGUAGAAAGUGCAAUUAGAUGAUAAAACAUAAUAAACCAAAUAUAAUAAAACAAGAGGUAUAAUUCACCAAAAUGAGACAAGGUUUCAAGUUGGUGGAGUUUCUUUUCAUGUGUUGCAGGCUUACAUUCAAAUUUUUUACCUGGUAUUGCAGAUGUUAUGAGACAGAUUUAAAGUGAUAGGAGUUUCAGAUGGAAAAUCGUUUUGUGAAAUAUUCUCCCCUAAAGAAAAGAAUGACUGUAAAAAUCAAAGAUCCUAAAAAAAGAAGUAUGCACAGAAUAUUUAUACACACAUACUGAAUCAUCAAUGGUGUUAACAAAGUUUCUCCUCAGUAACUGGUAGUAUCACUAACUGCAUUAAUAUGCAAAGUGUUUGAUUUAUUUACCACUUGAUCUUAAAUGUAUUUUGACUUCAGUAAUUAGCAACACUCUAAAUGUUAAGAGAUUCCUUGUUACUAUCAAAUUUAUUCUUAAUUUGAUAUGACUUCUAAAGAAGUAAUAAAAUCUGACAAUAAAGUAACAUGCCCACAAAUCAUUAUCCAUCAUAUCACAGGUUCAGACUCGUCACAUAGCAUCCUUGCUAACAUAAGAAUGUGACACAUUAUGCACACACAGAUGUACAUAUAAACACAGGCACAUUUUUUAAUUCUCCAAAACCAGUUCUUUCAGGUAUUCAAGGCUGUUUGUACUUGUCUCACUUUUAAAACAUUUACUUCUAUCACUACAUCAAUUGGCCAGCAAUGGUAGUAACUGAGUCUUGGGCUUUCAACUAUUUUAAUGGUAUUCAGGCAUUCAAAAAAGAUGCAGUAAUGAACCACAUUUGCCACUUCUCAUAUCCCUCAAGUGUAUCAAGUGGCCUCCUGGUUCCUUCUACCUCAAAUACAGUUAUCCAAUUCCACCAUGCCGAGAUCCAUUCUGAACUGCUUGCACACAGUUGUCAUUUGUACGAUUUCUUAAACAAUAAGGGGAUACUUCUUUUUUUUUUUAAUUAACGUGAUAGAACAUUCAAAAGACAAAAACUUUUGACUAGAGACUCAUUUCUUCCAUCUUUCCUUGAAAAUAAAACAUGCAGCUCCUUAGUGCAGAGCCUGACACUUCCUUUGUAACCUUCUAACACUGUCUCUAUCUAUAAAACUUGUGAUACCAAGUUAUUUAUUAAAUGUGUCCCGCUGUGUCUGAGAGGUGCUCUCUCUUACAAAAAGGCAAGUUACAUUCCAUGCCAUGGCAGCUCUACAUUCAGCAGGAAGGCUGAAACUCUCCCACUAUUUGCAGAUGUAUAUGAUGUUGACAGAACUUACGGGAUGGAAGAAAAUGCCUGGCAGUAAUCAUGGGCUUUUUAUCUCCAUCAGAACUGCUGGUACUGCUCCAGCUACCCCAGCUCCCACGACUGGCACGAACACUUCCUGAUGAACUUCCACAAUCUGAGCUUGAAUCAGAGCAAAACUUCUCCAAACAAUUCUUUUUGGACCACUGAUAAAAGCUUUCUAAAGAAAUAAUAAAUAAAAUAAAAGUUACCUGAAAUAUGUA